rnacentral:rRNA from 1 species
AUGGGCGCAAGCCUGAUGCAGCGACGCCGCGUGAGGGAUGACGGCCUUCGGGUUGUAAACCUCUGUUAGCAUCGAAGAAGCGAAAGUGACGGUAGGUGCAGAGAAAGCGCCGGCUAACUACGUGCCAGCAGCCGCGGUAAUACGUAGGGCGCGAGCGUUGUCCGGAAUUAUUGGGCGUAAAGAGCUUGUAGGCGGUUGGUCGCGUCUGCUGUGAAAGGCUGGGGCUUAACCCUGGUUUUGCAGUGGGUACGGGCUAACUAGAGUGCAGUAGGGGAGACUGGAAUUCCUGGUGUAGCGGUGGAAUGCGCAGAUAUCAGGAGGAACACCGAUGGCGAAGGCAGGUCUCUGGGCUGUAACUGACGCUGAGAAGCGAAAGCAUGGGGAGCGAACAGGAUUAGAUACCCUGGUAGUCCAUGCCCUAAACGUUGGGCACUAGGUGUGGGGGACAUUCCACGUUUUCCGCGCCGUAGCUAACGCAUUAAGUGCCCCGCCUGGGGAGUACGGCCGCAAGGCUAAAACUCAAAGAAAUUGACGGGGGCCCGCACAAGCGGCGGAGCAUGCGGAUUAAUUCGAUGCAACGCGAAGAACCCUACCAAGGCUUGACAUAUACUGGACUGCGUCAGAGAUGGCGUUUCCCUUCGGGGCUGGUAUACAGGUGGUGCAUGGUUGUCGUCAGCUCGUGUCGUGAGAUGUUGGGGUUAAGUCCCGCCAACGAG